rnacentral:rRNA from 1 species
GCGUGAGUGAUGAAGGCCUUCGGGUUGUAAACUGCUUUUGUACGGAACGAAAAGCUUCGGGUUAAUACCCUGGAGUCAUGACGGUACCGUAAGAAUAAGCACCGGCUAACUACGUGCCAGCAGCCGCGGUAAUACGUAGGGUGCAAGCGUUAAUCGGAAUUACUGGGCGUAAAGCGUGCGCAGGCGGUCUUGUAAGACAGAGGUGAAAUCCCCGGGCUCAACCUGGGAACUGCCUUUGUGACUGCAAGGCUGGAGUGCGGCAGAGGGGGAUGGAAUUCCGCGUGUAGCAGUGAAAUGCGU